ACGUUUCGGACCAAAGUGGGGGACCUUCGGGCCUCACGCCAUCGGAUGUGCCCAGAUGGGAUUAGCUAGUAGGUGGGGUAAUGGCUCACCUAGGCGACGAUCCCUAGCUGGUCUGAGAGGAUGACCAGCCACACUGGAACUGAGACACGGUCCAGACUCCUACGGGAGGCAGCAGUGGGGAAUAUUGCACAAUGGGCGCAAGCCUGAUGCAGCCAUGCCGCGUGUGUGAAGAAGGCCUUCGGGUUGUAAAGCACUUUCAGCGAGGAGGAAGGCAUAAAGGUUAAUAACCUUUGUGAUUGA
rnacentral:rRNA from 1 species